GAGUUUGAUGUGAGAGAAUUUAAUCUGAGUACCAGAUAGCAUCAGGGUUGCAUCUGCCUCCAGCCUGUUUUCCGGCCUCGUCCCUUUUCCCUGUCAAUGGAAUUUGGCAUCCAGGUCUACGUGCUCCCUCUGAGAAAAGGACAGAGGAAAUGAUGAAGUCUAUAACACCAAUUUCAAAAGAGCUAGGGCUUCUUCAGUCAGCACAGGAGGCUCCUGCAAGGGAAAAACGACUCUAGGAGAUGGAGUUGCCUGUGGGGAAGCAGCUCCAGCACAGAUCAAGGCUUCACAUGAAAGAGUCUGGACUUGUAUUUUGUUAACGUUCACUGUGAAGAAGAUGCUCAAUGGGAAAUACAGACAUACAGAAGGGAAGGGGAAAUCUAAGGAAGUCAUUGGUAUCUAGGCCACAGAUACUGUAUUUGUUUUGUGUUGCCUUAAGAGAAUACCUGAGACUGGGUAAUAUAUAAAGAAAAGUGGUUUAUUUAGCUCACAAUUCAGCAUGCUGAGAAGUUCAAGAGCAUGGUGUGGCAUCUGGCUGGCUUCUGGUAAAAGUUGUGUGCUGAGUCAAAACAUGGCAAAGAAGCAGAAAAGCAAGCGGUCAUGUGCGAAGAAAUCACAUGGCAAGAGAGGAAGCAAGACAGAAUCUAGGAAGCUGGAGUCACUUUUAUAAGAGCUCAUUCUUCGGCAACUAAUUCAGUCCAGCUGGAAAGAGAACUCACUCAUUCCUGUGGGAAAGCAUUAAUCUAUUCAUGAGAAAUCCACCCCCAUGAAGCAAACACCUCACUAUCCCACCUCCAGACAUCAAGAGAUUGGAGAUCACACUUCAACAUGAGUUUCCGAGGGGACAAACAAAUCAUAGCAGUUACCAAUCCUGCUUUAAUACAGGCCUGACGAAAUGUCCUUUUGCAA